UAUAUAUAUAUAUAUAUAUCAGUGUAUGUACAAUAUAUUUUGAUUCAAGGGAAGAAGGAGUAUUCUUUGCUUUCGAAAAAGGAAUGUAAGAUGGCUAUUUGUGGAAUUAUCUGUGUGACUAAACGUUUCAUGUUUUAUUCCUCUAUGUAAUGACCAGAUUUGGAGUCCAGACUGAAUGCCACUGAUGUCCAGGCAGAGACUCAGAGAGCCCUGGUGGCACAAAUACAAAUUGAAAUUAAAGGUACAUUAACAAAUUAUUAUGUUAGUGCUAUCACCUUGUGAAUAAAUGAUUGAACAGUUGGAAGAUGACAGGCUGAAGAAUGCUGAUAAGAUACUAUGCUGUUUUUAAGAUGAAUAAUAUUUAAUUUUCAUCAUUUUGACUGUCAGAGUUCGAGUCCAGACUGGAGUCCAGCGAGAGUCUUGAGAAGGAGCUAAAUGACCGACUUAAAGACGCUGAGACAAAGGUGGAGGCGCUGAAAACUGCAGAUCAAGAACUUGAGGCCAGACUGAAUGCCAGUGAUUUGGAGGGCCAAAAGACACAUGUGGAACAGCUGCAGAAGGAAAGCAAAGGUAAUACAACAAACAGGUCAAUUAUUAAUGCCUCAUAAAGUAGAUUUCCUCUCACCUCAGCUCACCUAAUCUCACCUCAUGAUUCAUAUUUGGCUGAAUGGAGAACCAUGCAGUAUUCAUUUAUACAUUUUUAACAAACAGAGUUGAACAUCAGACUGACAGAGCUGGGGAAUAAGUUUGGAGAGGUGGACACAGAUGUGAAGGCACUGCAGACCGCUGAUCAAGGUAAAUAAAUUGUAUUUUUACUGCAUAACUCUGUCCAAAUUAUGUUUUGAAGUGUAAGACCAGAUGUUGAUCUUGAUAGAAUCAUUUGUGUGAUUGAUGAUAUCACAUUUCAUUCCUCUAUGUAAUGAGCAGAACUUGAGGCCAGACUGAACACCACCGACGUCCAGGCCGAGACACAAAGAGCCCUGGUGGUACAACUACAGACUGAAAUUAAAGGUAUGUUGACAGAUGUAGAGAUUAUUGUAUUAGUGCAGUGAUAAGUGAUCUAUGAGGUUGCUGAAAUCAAGAUUUACUUGGUGCUCUUGUUAUGACUGUCAGCAUUUGAGUCCAGACUGGAGACCAGUGAGAGUCUAGAGAAGGAGUUGGCUGCUCGGCUGGGAAACACAGAGACAGAGGUGGAGGCCCUGAAGACUGUCGACCAAGGUAAACAGAGAAAGAAAUGCUUCUUUAGUUGCCAUAUGUAGUAUAAGAUAUUCAUAUGUAGACUAUUUGCAGGGUUAACUUGUCUGUCCCUGAUGGAAAUUUCAAUGAAUUUUCCAUGACCUUUACAUGAUUCAGCUGGAGCAUUUUGCACUACAGAUUUCAUCUCUUUAUGGUUUGUUGAUAUUAUUUGUCUCAAAGGGGAUGAAAAGUUUCCACUCU